AGGUAACGUCAGAGAUCAUUAUGUGGAGAAGUGGGAGCUCAGGAUGAAAGAUCAAGACGGUGAGUCCAACUGGACCCGAUUCAAAGAGAAGCUGGGAAACAAGCCUGGGGAAAAGGACUGAGGACCACGACACCUGUGCCCAGUCUACCCCCAAAACUAACCCCUCCCACAAAAAAAGAAACCUUAAAUCUACCAUGUCUCUCAACACCUUCCACCUGAUGGAGACCCUCAAGAACUCCCCGUCCGUUUUACGCCGCCGCUUCCGCCGUGACCGCACCGAGUCCCUCUCCCACGGCGACCCGCUCUUCAAGGUCCACUACCUGGGCACUGAGAAAAUCUUCUCCCUGGAUCUACAGCAGGCCCAGGACGCCAUAGCCCGGCUGCUCGACGGGGCCUCCAACGGAAAGAAACUGAGCAAAGACCAUGCGUUGGUGGUUCGUCCACGCUACGUCGAAGUCAAAGAGCUCAGCACUGGACGCCAGCUCACUAAGACGUACCUCCAGGACAUCGCCUACUGCGCGGCCGACGCCACCAGACCCAACGUGUUUCUGUACAUCUGUAAGCAUCACGGGCAACAGCUGCACUGCCGGGUGUUUUGGUGUAGCCGGGCAGAGCGGGCACGGGACAUGACUGCCUGCCUGGCACACUCCUUCCAGAGGGCACUGAAUGACUGGCAGGGGGACGGGGACGUUGGGUUAGGGGGAAGUACCGACACGCUGACCCCAGAAAAGGACGGGGUGAAGGAGGGAGAGGAUAUGCCCAGCACCACUACUAACCCCAAAAACUCCAUACAACCAGACAGCUGUGGAAGAGUCCGUUGGAAGAAGAGGAGCUCCCUGUCUCGUAGUCCACUGAGAGCCAUGACCAGGAAGGGCUCUGCCUCUGACAUCUGGCACUGAGUCCCCGAUCCCCAGAAUGGGACACGGAACUGACGACAUCCCCAGUGGCUAGCUACAGCACGGAGGGAGGGAUUGAAUGAACCCGCCACUACUGGACACAACAGGAUUGAAAAAAAAAGGAGUGUGAGGGAGAUCACUGCUGGACUUUCUUUCAAAUGAGACAUUGCCUUGCUUACAUGUUGAGUCUACAGUACCGUUCAUGACCGGCAUGAAUGGUAGCCUACAAACUGUGGAAGUUAAUGACUAGCUACCUUGGCUUUUGUCUCUGGAUUACUAGAGAACAAGGUGCUUAGUUGAUAGCGUUGUACUGUACGCUGUUGGUAGAAACCAGUAUUCACCUCAGUGGCCUUGUGACUCGCUUUCACUGUUGGAACGCUUCAAGGCUGAACUGCUAAUUUCCAAUGCUACUCCAAGUUACUUGUUUUCCACUGAGUGGCCUUGAUACUCUGAACUGUCAGUUAUGCUUAGAAGAAAGGAGCUCAAGGUCCUGUGUGCCUUUUUUAGCUAGACAAGGACAUGACUACAGAGUUCACCAAACCUCAAUUUCCUCUCCAUACAAUGCUGAACACAGCCUGGACUGUUUGAAACUGGUCACAGUCAUGGCGAUGUCUGUUUAAAAAAAAAAAACAUUUAACAUUUGUUUGUAUUUAUUUUAAUGAGAAGUCUUGUUUGUAACACACGGUUCAUGCACCUCUUCUCUUCCUGAAACACUAGAUUGUUUUUUUAGAAGGGAGGAGGAGCUUAAGUUUGAGCCGAAUGUGAGCUCAGUGUUCGUCUUGGGAGAGGGGUUAAAAACGGAGGUGUGUGAGAGUGUUCAUGGGGCAUAAAGGGUUCAUUUUAAUUUAAGCAGACCAUAGAAGAACUGGGCUAUGUUGUCAUAAUUACACAGUAAUGUGUGUUCAUAGGCAGGGUUUUAAUACAUUUUAGUAUCAAUUCAUUCGGUUCAGACUUCACCACGUGUAAUUUAGUCCAGUUGUUCCCAACCUUUUUCGGUCACUGUACCACCAACUGAAUUUCUCUGCCUGGAGUACCCCUGAAGUACCCCCUCAUGUGCAUUUUGCCAGUAGGUCUAUGGUCUCAUGAGUCUUAUCAAGUACCCCCUGUGGCUAGACCACAUACCCCCAGGUGUCCUAGUACUCUUGUUGGGAACCACUAGCCUAGUCAAUGCACACUGACUGUUCACAUUAUUUAUUUUUUGUCAUAACAUAUUACUAUUCAAGUAAAAUGUAAUCCUUAAUUAAGUUCCAUAAGCUUAAUUUGUUCCUAUAAGGUGUUAGUGUUUGCUAGAACUGUGAGUUUGUUUUUUUCUUCAUACUGUGUCACACAGGAGGUUGGUGGCACCUUAAUUGGGGAGGACAGACUCGUAAUAGCUGGCGUGGAAUAGUAUCCAAUACAUCAAACAUGUGGUUUCCAUGCUUUUGCCAUUACAUUUGUUCCGUUCCAGCCAUUAUUAUGAUCCGUCCUCCCCUCAACAGCCUCCAUUGAUGUAUGUAUAUAUUUGCAAUUAUGUGGAAAAAUCACUCACCCAUGAUCCUGCUUGUUCCUCAUUAUUCCUGUGUGGGUGAAGUAUAACCCUGGGUGGGUGAUUUUUUU
ensembl:lncRNA